rnacentral:rRNA from 1 species
GUAGUCUCGCACAGAUGCAUAUCAAUAAGCGGAGGAAAAGAAACUAACAAGGAUUCCCCUAGUAACGGCGAGUGAAGCGGGAAGAGCUCAAAUUUGAAAUCUUAAAGGGUUUCCCUUUACGAAUUGUAGUUUAAAGAAGUGUUUUCUGUUGAGGUUUUGGUAAAAGUUCUUUGGAAUAGGACAUCAUAGAGGGUGAGAAUCCCGUAUUUGACCUUUACUUUCAACUUUGUGAUACACUUUCAAAGAGUCGGAUUGUUUGGGAAUGCAGUCCAAAAUGGGUGGUAAAUUUCAUCUAAAGCUAAAUAUUGGCGAGAGACCGAUAGCGAACAAGUACCGUGAGGGAAAGAUGAAAAGAACUUUGAAAAGAGAGUUAAACAGUACGUGAAAUUGUCAAAAGGAAAGCGUUUGACACCAGUGUUGUUUUUCUGAAAAUCAAUUAAAGAACUGUUUAUGCUAAGUUGUUUAGACUUUAUCAGCUAACUGUUUAGUUUUGAGCUUUUCUUUAAUGCACUUUUCAGUUAACAAGUCAACAUCAAUUUCUUUUGCUGUAAAAAAGCUUGAGGAAGGUGGCUUGAGAUUCGUCUUAAGUGUUUAUAGCCUCUUGCCUAUGCAGUCGGAGAGAUUGAGGUCUGCAGCGUAGAUCCUUCGGGGCUAAAUGCAUUUGUGCUAAGUUAUAACAUUUUAUAGACAACUUGUUGACUAUGAUUUGUCUUGUAGCUUACUCGCUUAUGUUAUUUUACCUACGCUUAGGAUGUUGAUCUGUAGUGCGUGCGC